rnacentral:lncRNA from 1 species
AACAAAUAGUAAAUACAUAAGUACUAUCAUAGGUUGGAUUAUUUUAAAUAUGUACUGUAAAUCACAAACUAGUUCCUUAUUCCGUAGUGUGUACGAUAUUUUCAGGUGAUUUAAUUUGCCGAACAUUAACAUACAAGUAUAUGAAAAACAAUGUAAUUUUUUUUUUGGAAACGGUUAAUUUUAGAAAAAAAUGUUAUAGGACUUUUUUGUUCUAAAUUGUGUAUUCUAGCCGUACCUUAAAGGAACGCACUAUUUUCCGGGACACCCUGUAUAGGGCUGUUCUUUUGUUAACCCCUUAAACUAUGGUUGUUUUACUUAUUUUUGAGAUCUUUCUUAUUCAUUUACAAAAAAACGUGUAUUUUUAUAAAACCGAUAUAUGCUAUGAAUGAAUUAAUAGAUAUUAUCAGAUGUUGGGCAUAUACUGCUUUUGAAGGUACUGUUCUUGGAAUCUCUGUUAUACUGAUUAACAAUGCCAAAUGUAGUUUGUUAUAAAUUGCCAAUGCACUGUCUUACUAGAUCUAGGUGUUGUAGCUUCCAUUGAUGAUCCUAAUCGAAGCAAAUUUUGUAUCAGUUGUGCUGUAUACAUACUAUACCGACACGCUUGAUUCCUUGAUAUACAUUUGAAUCCAAAUGAACAUAUACCGAAGAUGAAUGGGCUUGUUGAAAAACAAUAAACAAAUUUUAGUAAGUGUAUAGUGCUUCUAAAAAGUAUGCCACUGUAAAGUUCGUGUAUAGAUCACAUUCUUAUCGAACUCCGUCUACAUUGUAACAUCGACAGGCUUACUGUUUUAAGAUUCUACAUUUUUAGCUAAAACAUCCUGUCGUGUUCUUAAUACAUUCAAUUGAUCAACCCGUACUUGUAAACCCAACUAAACAAAUUUUAUAAACAUUAUCUUCUCUUCUAGUGCAGCAAGGUACUAUAGAGGGGAAAUAGACAGCAGAAGGGGUCCAGGCAGGAGGAGACGUUCGUGGCUGCCAAACUUGC